CGAAAGCCUGACGGAGCAACGCCGCGUGAGGGAUGAAGGCCUCUGGGCUGUGAACCUCUUUUAUCAAGGAAGAAGAUCUGACGGUACUUGAUGAAUAAGCCACGGCUAAUUCCGUGCCAGCAGCCGCGGUAAUACGGGAGUGGCAAGCGUUAUCCGGAAUUAUUGGGCGUAGAGCGUCCGCAGGCGGCCCUUCAAGUCUGCUGUUAAAAAGUGGAGCUUAACUCCAUCAUGGCAGUGGAAACUGUUGGGCUUGAGUGUGGUAGGGGCAGAGGGAAUUCCCGGUGGUAGCGGUGAAAUGCGUAGAUAUCGGGAAGAACACCAGUGGCGAAGGCGCUCUGCUGGGCCAUCACUGACGCUCAUGGACGAAAGCCAGGGGAGCG
rnacentral:rRNA from 1 species